rnacentral:snRNA from 1 species
GGACUCAUUUUGGCAGCACAUAUACUAAAAUUGUAAUGAUAAAGAGAAAGAUUGGCAUGGGCCCUACGCAAGGAUGAUGUGCCGGUUUGUAUAUUUAU